GUGCUUGUUUUUGCAGCACAUACACUAAAAUUAGAAUGAUACAGAGAAGAUUAGCAUGGCUCCCAUGAGACGAUGACAUGGAAAUUCAUAAUGUGUUCCCUAUUUUU
rnacentral:snRNA from 1 species